UACGUAGGUGGCAAGCGUUGUCCGGAUUUAUUGGGUUUAAAGGGUGCGUGGGCGGCUUUGUAAGUCAGUGGUGAAAUACUCCAGCUUAACUGGAGGGGUGCCAUUGAUACUGCGGAGCUUGAGUACAGAUGAGGUAGGCGGAAUUGACGGUGUAGCGGUGAAAUGCAUAGAUAUCGUCAAGAACACCGAUAGCGAAGGCAGCUUACUGGGCUGUAACUGACGCUGAUGCACGAAAGUGUGGGGAUCAAACAGG
rnacentral:rRNA from 1 species